CUGCCAGUUUCGCUCCCGGUUAGCCCAGAACUUUUUAUAGCAUAGAAUUUUAAAGCAAGGGCUUAGAAUCAGACCUGGGUCAAAAUCCUGCCUUCCACCUUCACCAAGGUAGUGUGACCUUGACGUUCCUACAUAAGAGAUUAAAAUACCCCAAAUUCCAGCGAAACAGCUGAUGCCAGCCAGCUUGAAGACCCCUGCCACAGAAGAAGGGAAUCAGCAUGAGAAUACAGCUUCAUCUCCCUGUCCCAUGACUUCGCCCUGUACUCUUCAGCCAAUUAAUGAUCUCCACACUUGGGACCACUCCAAAACCCUUAAGAACCUGAGCCUCAAAGUCCUCCUGGAGACGAAUUUGAGGUUUCCUACUAUCUGUGUUUGGUGGCCCUAUGAUUAAACCUCUUUCUCUUCUGCAACCUGGUGUCCCAGUGUAUUAACUUGCCAUGGGCAUCAGACAACAAACCUAUAUAUAGUAUCCCAAAUAUGGUGCUCCACUUUGAAA
rnacentral:lncRNA from 1 species